CUCCAACGCGGCACUCUGUGUUUUGCAGUACAGCUAUAUAUCUACCACCACCGUCACCUUCAUGGUUGGUGGCUUGCACACGCCCGCGCGUGGAUGCUGACGGAGCACUGCAAGUGCGCAACCACCACACAUUCGAUCACCUUAAGCAACCUCACGAGCUCCGCAUCUUCACGCAUGUGUACGCAUGCACACGGUCGAAAAUACAAAAAAAGGGUAAGAGCGAAUCAUCUACUUCAGUGCCGCAGCUAGACCCCCUCCCCCGCUCUCCCGCCCGCUCUCUACAGGCCGUGUAUAUUAAGCAGCUGUCGUACUGGCGCUUUUGUUUUUUCCGGUCCCACCCCCAUCAAAUCGCUCCCCUUUUUCUGCAUUUUGUCCCUCAGCUCCAACUGGGGCACUGCACGCUAGUGAAAGGACGUCUCAAUGGAUUCCCACGUCACCAGGUAAGCCAGUCAAGCGCAUUGCCUUUACAACACCGACACACAAAAAAGCACACAGACACACAGGUAGGCCGCUGGUUAGUGGCGACCGUGACUUUCGGUGCGUAGGGUGGCCUAUUCGGAGUGCAGCUCUUCAUUUGCAUAUUUUAUCUGCUCUGCGAAUCGACCGAGACCUUUCUCCUCUAAUCUUGCACACUCUCCUUUGCCUUUCGAAAGCUCUCACCCUUUUCUGUUCCCCUUGAAUGUUCUUCGUGUGCUGAGAGGGACGCACAUCACCGCGACUCCGUGCGCCGUGUUGCUCGCACUCGCGCCCUUUGGGGGUGCCGCGGGUCGAACCUACAAAAUCAUGCAGUGGUGCUGCGGGUACAUGACGCGCGACACGGACCCGGAGCACCGCCCAUGGUGACUGGGACGUCUCAUGAGCAUCAGCACCGUCUUUGUUGAUGGCGGCCUCCUUUUCGGCGUGGCCCGUCACUCUUAGCGCGGAGGUGAGCGUGCGCAGUGCAGUGCCUUCGUUGUGACAUCACCCCAAUUCUCACUGGGGAGCCGCGAGAACAGCGCUUGAUGCGCUUUGCACGCUCAGCCACCAGCUUCCUAGCAUACCUCUGCGAUGUAGUGCGCAGCGCAGCGCUUGUGCCGGAUCCACGACUACCUCAGCGGCAGCUUUCGUGUGUGAAGCUUGGCACUUAUCGUUUGACGCGCUCUGGUCAAUUGUCUCGUCUGGAGGACUGCCUCUCCUCUCUUGGCCAUCCGCCGCCGCCGCAUCCGAUGGCCGAGAUGCGGGAGGCGCGUGCCCAAGAGAGUCAGCUGGGUGGGAAAACGAACAAGGAGAGUCGAGUCGAAGUUCUACCUUUUGCGGCGCGUCAUCGUCGCAGACCCAUACCCUCUGCUGGUCUGAGUCGUGUGCUCAGCAGUGCACUUGGUGAGCAUGAAUAAAAUAUGCCAUAGUCGUGUGCUCUCUUGCCUUCCGCACCACUGCCGACCUCUCCGUCGUCAGGCACGCCUUGAGGGUCGUGGUGCUUCGCGAUGUCGGUGAGCCAGCUUCUCUUGCGGCUCAUGCCGGUGCGCUCCGUCAAUGACUCUCUCCCGUGCUGAUCGUCACACUGACUGGAAUGGCAGUGCGUGUCAAGUAGUUUGUACCAUGCAUUGAACUGGCGCACCUACACGUGGUCAGCGUCGUGCUCUGCUGCUGCCGUCUGGUGGUGCUCUCUGAGUGUGCAAAGCCCGCCAUCUCCGCUUCACCUGCAUGACGGGUUCCCCGGGCAUCACGUUCGGUGUCGUGAGCCCCAUCACACACAUAGUGUAGAUUGUGGCUGCAGAGAUGCAAGGUAUCCUCUCGAAGAUUGGCUCGUGGUGGACCGAAAACAAGCGCUGUAAAGGCGCAGUCCAGCCCUUCGGGCGGUUCAAGCCCACCGUCUUCUCUCGCCUCCGAGCCGUAGGGCUCAUUUGUAGCGCAAGAGGCGCCCCCGUUUGCCAUAGGACUCGCAAACAACCGUACACACCGCCGUCGUGAUGUGCUCGAAUGCGGCAUUGCAGAGGCGCAGCUAGAGAACUCGGAACCUUUGUUUUUUUCCUUGGGGGGGGAGGAGGAGGCGGGAGCUGUUCUCUCGUCUUGUGUGGCAGUUCCUUCUGCAAGAGUGCAGUCCUGUGCUGGUCCCAGUCGAUUGCAUCAUACGGUCAUGGGAAGACGUAAAAAGAGAGAAUACGUGCGGAAGGUGAAGAGAAGUGGAAGGCCAGCAGUGCACCCGUCAUGAUUCAGUAGCGCACUGCCGCCCUCAGAUACGUUUUGCCGUUUUGUUUUUCUUUUGGCUUUAUUCUCACUUCCUCCCUUUUCCGCCUUGCCAACGUGGUUGUGACGCCCCUAAUUGACGUUGUGGUGUUGCCGGCUCUUGCCAUUAUGCUUGCCUCGACGUUUUCCACCUCCACAGCGUUCACUGCCUCCUCCUUCCUCGCUCGUUGAAUUCGCCUGUUUUUGAAAUAAAUCCUUCUCCCCGCUGCUGUCGCUGCCUGUUGGUAGCUGUGCACAGUGCUCUGAUGACCCCUCCCCCUUCGUCGAAUCGUUCAAGGGAAGAGGCACCCACAGUAG
rnacentral:misc_RNA from 1 species